rnacentral:rRNA from 1 species
GAUGCCAGCUAGCGAUCCGCCAAAGUUCCUCCGAUGACUUGGUGGGCAGCUUCCGGGAAACCAAAGCAUUUGGGUUCCGGGGGAAGUAUGGUUGCAAAGCUGAAACUUAAAGGAAUUGACGGAAGGGCACCACCAGGAGUGGAGCCUGCGGCUUAAUUUGACUCAACACGGGAAACCUCACCAGGCCCGGACACCGGAAGGAUUGACAGAUUGAGAGCUCUUUCUUGAUUCGGUGGGUGGUGGUGCAUGGCCGUUCUUAGUUGGUGGAGCGAUUUGUCUGGUUAAUUCCGAUAACGAACGAGACUCUAGCCUACUAAAUAGACGUACUUUAUUACCGGCAUCUCAAGGCCCAUCGGCUGUAUUGUUACUGAAUGUUAUUUGUAUAUUUUGUUGAUAUAUAUUUAUAAUAUGUAUGAUUGAUAAUAUAUAUUUUUAUUUAAUUCCAAUUAUUUAUUAUAUAUAAUUAUUUAAUCUGCAUUAAUGAUAUAUUUGAAACAUGGCACAUUAACUAAAGUGACAACAGUUUUUUGAUG